UUGGUCAGCGGCGGACGGGUGAGUAACACGUGGGCAACCUGCCCGCAAGACCGGGAUAACUCCGGGAAACCGGAGCUAAUACCGGAUAACACCGAAGACCGCAUGGUCUUUGGUUGAAAGGCGGCCUUUGGCUGUCACUUGCGGAUGGGCCCGCGGCGCAUUAGCUAGUUGGGGAGGUAACGGCUCACCAAGGCGACGAUGCGUAGCCGGCCUGAGAGGGUGACCGGCCACACUGGGACUGAAACACGGCCCAAACUCCUACGGGAGGCAGCAGUAGGGAAUCUUCCGCAAUGGGCGAAAGCCUGACGGAACGACCCCGCGUGAGCGAAAAAGGCCUUCGGGUCGUAAAGCUCUGUUGUGAGGGACGAAGGAGCGCCGUUCGAAGAGGGCGGCGCGGUGACGGUACCUCACGAGGAAGCCCCGGCUAACUACGUGCCAGCAGCCGCGGUAAUACGUAGGGGGCGAGCGUUGUCCGGAAUUAUUGGGCGUAAAGCGCGCGCAGGCGGUUCCUUAAGUCUGAUGUGAAAGCCCACGGCUCAACCGUGGAGGGUCAUUGGAAACUGGGGGACUUGAGUGCAGGAGAGGAGAGCGGAAUUCCACGUGUAGCGGUGAAAUGCGUAGAGAUGUGGAGGAACACCAGUGGCGAAGGCGGCUCUCUGGCCUGCAACUGACGCUGAGGCGCGAAAGCGUGGGGAGCAAACAGGAUUAGAUACCCUGGUAGUCCACGCCGUAAACGAUGAGUGCUAAGUGUUAGAGGGGUCACACCCUUUAGUGCUGCAGCUAACGCGAUAAGCACUCCGCCUGGGGAGUACGGCCGCAAGGCUGAAACUCAAAGGAAUUGACGGGGGCCCGCACAAGCGGU
rnacentral:rRNA from 1 species